rnacentral:rRNA from 1 species
GGGCUUGACAUCCCACGAAUCCCUUCGAAAGAAGGGAGUGCCCGCAAGGGAGCGCGGAGACAGGUGGUGCAUGGCUGUCGUCAGCUCGUGUCGUGAGAUGUUGGGUUAAGUCCCGCAACGAGCGCAACCCUCACCUCUUGUUGCCACCAGGUCAUGCUGGGCACUCUAGAGGAACUGCCCCGGUCAACGGGGAGGAAGGCGGGGAUGACGUCAAGUUAUCAUGCCCCUUACGUCCUGGGCUACACACGUGCUACAAUGGCCGGUACAAAGGGAUGCCACACCGCGAGGUAGAGCUAAACCCAAAAAGCCGGUCUAAGUUCAGAUUGGAGUCUGCAACUCGACUCCAUGAAGGAGGAAUCGCUAGUAAUCGCGUAUCAGCACGACGCGGUGAAUACGUUCCCGGGCCUUGUACACACCGCCCGUCACACCACGAAAGCCCGUUGUACUCGAAGUCGCUGAG